CCCAAAAUGGCCCUAAAUGGGGGGAAAUGGACCCAAAUGGCCCUAAAUGGGGGGAAAUGGACCCAAAAUGGGGGAAAUGGGGGUGAAUUGACCCCAAAAUGGCCCUAAAUGGGGGGAAAUGGGCCCCAAAUGGCCCUAAAUGGGGGAAAAUGGACCUAAAUUGUGGGGAAAUGGGCCCCAAAUGGCCCUAAAUGGGGGGAAAUGGGACCAAAAUGGGGGAAAUGGACCCCAAAUGGCCCUAAAUGGGGGGAAAUGAACCCAAAUCGGGGUGAAUUGACCCCAAAAUGGCCCUAAAUGGGGGGAAAUGGACCCCAAAAUGGCCCUAAAUGGGGGGAAAUGGACCCCAAAUGGGAGGAAUUGACCCCAAAAUGGGGAGAAAUGGGCCCAAAAUGGCCCUAAAUGGGGGAAAAUGGCCCUAAAUGGGGGGAAAUGGGCCCCAAAUGGCCCUAAAUGGGGGGGAAUUGACCCCAAAAUGGCCCUAAAUGGGGGAAAUGGACCCAAAAUGGGGGGAAUUGACCCCAAAAUGGGGAGAAAUGGGCCCAAAAUGGCCCUAAAUGGGGGAAAUGGGCCCAAAAUGGCCCUAAAUGGGGGGAAAUGGACCCCAAAUGGACCCAAAAUGGUGGGAAUGGACCCAAAUUGGGGGGAAUUGACCCCAAAAUGGGGAGAAAUGGGCCCAAAAUGGCCCUAAAUGGGGGGAAAUGGACCCCAAAUGACCCUAAAUGGGGGGAAAUGGACCCAAAUGGCCCUAAAUGGGGGGAAAUGCACCCAAAUGGGAGGAAUUGACCCCAAAAUGGGGGGAAAUGGGCCCAAAAUGGCCAUAAAUGGGGGAAAUGGACCCCAAAUGGCCCUAAAUGGGGGGAAAUGGACCCCGAAUGACCCUAAAUGGGGAGAAAUGGGCCCCAAAUGGCUCUAAAUGGGGGGAAAUGGGACCAAAAUGGCCCUAAAUGGGGGGAAAUGGACCCCAAAUGGCCCAAAAUGGGGGAAAUGGACCCCAAAAUGUCCCUAAAUGGGGGGAAAUGGGCCCCAAAUGGCCCUAAAUGGGGGAAAUGGGCCCAAAAUGGCCCUAAAUGGGGGGAAAUGGGACCAAAAUGACCCUAAAUGGGGGGAAAUGGACCCCAAAAUUGGGGGAAAUGGGACCCAAAUGGCCCUAAAUGGGGGGAUAUGGGGUGAAUUGACCCCAAAAUUGCCCUAAAUGGGGGGAAAUGGGCCCAAAAUGGCCCUAAAUCGGGGGAAAUGAACCCAAAUUGGGGGGAAUUGACCCUAAAUGGCCCCAAAUUGGGGUGAAUGGAGCCCAAAAUGGCCCUAAAUGGGGGGAAAUGGACCCCAAAUGGGAGGAAUUGACCCAAAAUUGGGGGAAAUGGACCCAAAAUGGCCCUAAAUGGGGGGAAAUGGCCCCCAAAAUUGGGGGAAAUGGGACCCAAAUGGCCCUAAAUUGGGGGAUAUGGGGUGAAUUGACCCCAAAAUGGCCCUAAAUGGGGGGAAAUGGACCCAAAAUGGCCCCAAAUUGGGAAAUGACCCCAAAAUGCACCAAAACCGCCCCAAAUUGACCCAGAAUUGGCCCCAAAUCCACCCCCAGAAAACCCCAAAUGCCCCAAAAUCAGCCCUAAAACCCCAAAUUGCCCCCAAAUGCCCCAAAAUCGACCCUAAAAACCCCAAAUUGCCCCCAAAUGGCCCCAAAAUUGGCCCUAAAAACCCCACAUUGCCCCCAAAUGCCCCAAAAUCGGCCCUAAAAACCCCAAAUUGCCCCCAAAUGCCCCAAAAUCGACCCUAAAAAACCCGAAUUGACCCAAAUUGACCCCAAAAUCAGUCCUAAAAACCCCCAAAUUGCCCUCAAAUGCCCCAAAAUCGGCCCUAAAAACCCCAAAUUGCCCCCAAAUGCCCCAAAAUCGGCCCUAAAAACCCCAAAUUGCCCCCAAAUGGCCCCAAAAUCGGCCCUAAAAACCCCAAAUUGCCCCCAAAUGCCCCAAAAUCGGCCCUAAAAACCCCAAAUUGCCCCCAAAUGCCCCAAAAUCGGCCCUAAAAACCCCAAAUUGCCCCCAAAUGCCCCAAAAUCGACCCUAAAAAACCCAAAUUGACCCAAAUUGACCCCAAAAUCAGUCCUAAAAACCCCCAAAUUGCCCUCAAAUGCCCCAAAAUCGGCCCUAAAAACCCCAAAUUGCCCCCAAAUGCCCCAAAAUCGGCCCUAAAAUCCCCAAAUUGCCCCCAAAUGCCCCAAAAUCGGCCCUAAAAACCCCAAAUUGCCCCCAAAUGCCCCAAAAUCAGCCCUAAAAACACCAAAUUGACCCAAAAUGACCCCAAAACAGCCCUAAAAACCCCAAAUUGCCCUCAAAUGCCCCAAAAUCAGCCCUAAAAACCCAAAAUUGACCCAAAAUGCCCCAAAAUCAGCCCUAAAAACCCCAAAUUGCCCUCAAAUGCCCCAAAAUCAGCCCUAAAAACCCAAAAUUGACCCAAAAUGCCCCAAAAUCAGCCCUAAAAACCCCAAAUUGCCCUAAAUUGACCCCAAAUUGACCCAAACUGACCCAAAUUGCCUCAAAAUCGGCCCUAAAAACCCCAAAUUGCCCCCAAAUGACCCCAAAAUCAGCCCUAGAAACACCAAAUUGCCCCAAAUUGACCCCAAAUGCCCCAAAUCAGCCCUAAAAACACCAAAUUGACACAAAAUGACCCCAAAAUCGGCCCUAAAAAUCCCCAAAUGCCCCCAAAUACCCCCAAAACGGCCCUAAAAACACCAAAUUGCCCCCAAAUGCCCCAAAAUCGGCCCUAAUAACCCCAAAUUGCCCCCAAAUGCCCCAAAAUCAACCCUAAAAAACCCCAAAUUGCCCUCAAAUGCCCCCAAAUCGGCCCUAAAAACCCCAAAUUGCCCCCAAAUGCCCCAAAAUCGGCCCUAAAAACCCCAAAUUGCCCCCAAAUGCCCCAAAAUCAGCCCUAAAUAAUCCCCAAAUUUGCCCCCAAAUAAUCCCCAAAUGGCCCAAAAUGGCCCCAAAUAACCCCAAAAUUGCCCGAAAUGGCCCCAAAUAUCUUCAAAAUCACCCCAAAUAACCCCAAAAUUGCCCCCAAAUAACCCCAAAAUUGCCCCAAAUGGUCCCAAAUAACCCCAAAACCGCCCUGAAAUAACCCCAAAAUUGCCCCAAAUUUGCCCCAAAAUGACCCCAAAAUUGCCCAAAAAUGGCCCCAAAUAACCCCAAAACCGCCCGCAAAUAACCCCAAAAUUGCCCCAAAUGACCCCAAAUUGCCCCAAAUUUGUCCCCAAAUAACCCCAAAAUUGCCCAAAAUGGUCCCAAAUAGCCCAAAACCGCCCUGAAAUACCCCCAAAUUGCCCCAAAUAACCCCAAAACCGCCCCCAAAUAACCCCAAAUUUGCCCCCAAAUAACCCCAAAAUCAGCCCUAAAUAAUCCCCAAAUUUGCCCCCAAAUAACCCCAAAAUGGCCCCAAAUAACCCCAAAAUUGCCCGAAAUGGCCCCAAA
ensembl:lncRNA